GACGAACGCUGGCGGCGUGCCUAAUACAUGCAAGUCGACCUUAGUGGCGAACGGGUGAGUAACACGUGGGUAACCUGCCCAUCAGAAGGGGAUAACACCUGGAAACCGGUUCUAAUACCGUAUACUGAUGGAUGGACCCGCAGUGCAUUAGCUAGUUGGUGAGGUAACGGCUCACCAAGGCCAUGAUGCAUAGCCGACCUGAGAGGGUGUUCGUCCACAUGGUGACUGAGACAGGGCCGGAACUCCUACGGGAGGCAGCAGGAGGGAAUCUUCGGCAAUGGACGAAAGUCUGAACGAGCAACGCCGCGUGAGUGAGGAAGGUUUGCGGAUCGGAAAACUCUGUUGUUAGAUAAGCGGUAUCUAACCAGAAGGCCACGGCUAACUACGUGCCAGCAGCCGCGGUAAUAC
rnacentral:rRNA from 1 species